AGGCCUGGAGGGCCCAUGCGCCCCUCCCGGCCGCGGUGCUUUCUUUUCUGCCGGGCCGCCGGAGAAGGAAGGCGCUUCGGACACCGUCGGCCUUGCGGGCGGGGCGGCAGCGCCUACGGGCCUGUCGCCGGGCUCUUUGAGGGAGUGGGGGGGAGUUCCUGCGGUGUUAGAUCCUCUUCUUUUUUUUCUGCCGGGAACCUGGCUCCGAGCCAGAGCGCAUGGGUCCGCCUCGGGCCUCUCCGCUCUGUGGAUCCCGCGCCCGGGGCCUCCAUCCCGAUGCCGUCCGUCCACUGCCGGGCACAGCGGAGCGGUCGGCGCGGCCUCAGCCUCAAGGUCAUGUCAGGAGGCCCCCCUUCCUCUCCCCCUCCCCAAUUGACGCAGCCUCGAGCUUUCCUCCGCGCCGUCUGCUCAGUCGCAUUUUAGCACAGUUUACCUACUAACAAUGAGUUCUGGUCUCGACGCAGUGGAGCAUUGUCGGCAUUUGUUCCCGGAUCUUCCUUUGUAAAUAUGCUCUGGAGACGUGGCAUUGAAGUUGGAGAAGAAUCCGUACAGUAUAGGAGGCCCUUAGGCUGUAAAUGCCGGCUAUACCCUUAGAUGCUUCGGGUCACAGAGAUUUCUGGAUACAAUACAGAAGAAACCGGUCGAGAACUGGGAGAUUGGAAGAACUUUUGCCUCUUCAAAAGCAAAGGUAUAAAUGAACCUUGUCCAUGGGACUUGGUAUCGUCAUGCGUUUGUUUUUUUCCUCCCCCCGAUUUGAAAUACAAGUUGUUUCAUCUAAAACAAUCCAACGGUUAACUGUCAACAAGGCAAAUGUGAUGGCUGGUAGUAGUUUAUAUAUUUGGUAUUACAGUCAUCGUUUUUGAGGCCUAAGUGGCUUGAAUACUAUUUUCAUUGCUAAGUGUUGGUAUUUUUAAAAAUUUUACAAAAUAAAUGUUUGAUUAAAGUUUUGACAAUGUAUGUAAGUUCUUAAGCAUAAUAAAUACACAAGAGCCCACUGAUCCAUUUAAGAACUGGGAUAUUAUCAAUACCAUAACAUCUGUUUGCUUCCCUAUCCCAUUCCUUCCUUCCUUCCUUCCUUCCUAUCCCAUGCCUUCCAUCCUGAGGUGCCCAUCAUCUGGGAUUUUGUGCCCAGACUCGGUUUUUUGAGGGGAGUAGGGUGGAUAGCAGUUUUAUUAUACAUACAUAUCCCUAAACAUUCUUUGUUUGUUUUAGGCCUUAAACAAAUAGGACUUGCAUGUAUCAAUAGUUGUCAGAAGUGCCAUGAAUCAUACAUUAAACUGAAGUUUUCCAAGUUGGAAUUAUUCAUAACCAAUAGUAUGUGUUCCUAAUAUUAUGUGAAAUAUCUCAGCAUUUCAAGACUUGAAAAUGAUAAAUUGUCUUGCAAGGCCCAACAUUUGAUAUGUCUUCAUAAAUCAUUUCCAACAGCUGUCCAGUUCAAUGAUUUAUCCUCCUGGGGUUCUGUAGGACAUGAUCUGUGGCCCUGGCCAUGCCCUUUACAGUACAUAAAUAUGCUUUCAGGCAACUUGGGACUUAAUUCUACAGAACUGUGUCCAGUAAUGAUGUCAACAUAAUGUAUCUCUGCUCUGAAACUAUAUUAGAUCUGCCAUAAUAAUGCUCUUAGUUAGAGGUCUGCACACUUGUUUUUAUAUAUCUAACCUUUAACCUGGCUCAUCUCAUUCUUGUCAAGCUCUGAGGCAGAAAAGCAAUGGCUGGGUACUCAUUAGGACCAUCAUGUCUUAAAAUCUGUACUGCCACAGUAAAACAACAUCAUAAAUAUAUCCAUCAUUUUUGCCCAUGCUAAUGAAUCCAUUUCCAGCUUGGAAAGAUCAUUUAUGGAAUUAUUAGGGCCUAACCACUCAAAAGGACUAACACAUCCUCAAGUCACUAUAGAUAUUUAAAAUUGGAGGCUUAUCAGUUUGACUACCAAAAGUAAGUAUAAUUAAGCAGCAAGCACAUUCUUUUGUUCCUUCAGAGAUGUGUUAAACAACAGAUAGAAAAUGACUCCACUAUAUAGUCUUAAUGUUAGUCGUUUUUAUUAUAAAUUUGAUUGGGAGUCAGGAAGAUUGCAGGGUUUUUUUGUUUUUUUUUUAAUGGCUCCUGAUAAGAAUGGGAAAAAAAAUCCUACUGGACCAUACUACAUAUAAGAUGGCAGAAAAACAGAUACAAGUACAAAUGAGAAUUCACAAUGAAAUAUGUAUAAUUUCUAGGUACAACAGAGCCGAUGAGUUGAAGAUGAAUGAAGGUCGUUGUGAUAAAUGUUUCCCAAAAACUUGUCAUAGAGGAUGGCUGUGCACAUAACAAGAAUAUAAGUACCUGCAGAUGAAUGUUCAAGUCCUUAGCAGUGGUGUUUAAAAAUUCUUCAUUGCCGCAAAGGUGUGGCAUACAACAUUUUGGAAGGGAAAAUGAAGAAUUGGUCAAGAAGACAUGAAUUAAAGCAAAUGAUGAAAAUUAGUAUUUUAUUUAACAUUGAUCAUCUCACAAUAAAUUAUGUAGAAAAAUAUAAGUUCAAAUGAUUUUAAUUGCUGGGCAAUAAAGUCUGUUUUCUUU